rnacentral:rRNA from 1 species
GGCGGACGGGUGAGUAACGCGUAGGAAUCUACCUAAUAGUGGGGGAUAGCCCAGGGAAACUUGGAUUAAUACCGCAUACGCCCUACGGGGGAAAGCGGGGGAUCUUCGGACCUCGUGCUAUUAGAUGAGCCUGCGUAAGAUUAGCUAGUUGGUGAGGUAAGAGCUCACCAAGGCGACGAUCUUUAGCUGGUCUGAGAGGAUGAUCAGCCACACUGGGACUGAGACACGGCCCAGACUCCUACGGGAGGCAGCAGUGGGGAAUAUUGGACAAUGGGGGCAACCCUGAUCCAGCCAUGCCGCGUGUGUGAAGAAGGCCUUCGGGUUGUAAAGCACUUUCAGAGGUGAGGAAAGGUAUGUGUUUAAUACGUACAUACUGUGACGUUAACCUCAGAAGAAGGACCGGCUAACUCCGUGCCAGCAGCCGCGGUAAUACGGAGGGUCCGAGCGUUAAUCGGAAUUACUGGGCGUAAAGCGCGC